CAGUAGCCGCGGUAAUACGUAGGGGGCGAGCGUUGUCCGAAGUUACUGGGCGUAAAGCGCGCGUAGGCGGCUUCUUAAGUCUGAGGUGAAAGGUUCAACGCUUAACGUGAACAGUGCCUUGGAUACUGGGGAGCUUGAGUAUGGGAGAGGGCAGUGGAAUGGCUGGUGUAGCGGUGAAAUGCGUAGAUAUCAGUCGGAACACCCAUGGCGAAGGCAGCUGCCUGGCCUAAUACUGACGCUGAGGUGCGAAAGCGUGGGGAGCGAACGGGAUUAGAUACCCCGGUAGUCCCUGUCUCUUAUA
rnacentral:rRNA from 1 species